UCAAAAUCACCUCCUCUUCCUCUUCCUAUUCCCAUUUUCAGCUUCUCCACUUCAUUUUUGAUUCUCUCCUUGCCAAAAAAAUUACAGAGAAAACCCUCAAAACCAUCGUAGAUCUGCGGAGAGGGAGUGAAGGAGAAGGGGACCAAUCUUUAGGGUUUUUGUAGCCACGAUGAAGCAGAGACGGUGGAGUGCCCGCAGGAUGGCCGCGAAAGCGAGGAUAGCCAUGGUGAGUUUGAGCCACCUAACAGAAAAAGAUUAUGUAAGCGCUCUAAUUAUGACGAUGACUGGGAAGAAGAUUGUAAUGACGGGCUGGAUUCCAUUCAAAAAGUUGGAUAUCGUAAGAAGGCUUCUUAUGGCCACAAAGAUAACCUUAAUGGGAAGAGUGGGUCCAGGCAUAUGAUAGUAACUGCCGGGCAAAGAAUGCAAGAAGCCUUUCAGCCUGGAGCUACUCCUGCACAGCCUGGAAAGAGGCACUUUCUAUGCUACAAUAUGCCUAGAAGUAUAACCACAAUGGAACAUGAUGGAUAUUCACAUAUAGAGACAGAUUUCCAUGAUACCAGCGGUGGUCCACGUGUUCCUCCAAUGACUGGCUAUUUUGGCUUCACAAUGGCUUCUCUAAAUGAGAGUGGGAGUGUAUUUGCCAAUCCAUGUAAAGGCGAGAAGAAUAUGAGCACACUUAUGUAUCGGCCCUUCAGUAGCCGGGCGAAUAACAGUGAGGUUCACCGAAUUUCCUUAUGCAUAUUUAGUGGUCUAUGCGACUUGAAGGGGAAGAAGUUAGAGCAAUAGCACUUGGAAGUGCUUGGGUUGCAGCUGUUACUAGCCUUAAUUUUUGUUCGUAUCUUCACUGAGGGUGGUCUGCAGGUAUGUAAAGAUUCUAUCAUUAAGUUCUGAACUGCAAUAUGGAUAGAAACCUUCACUUUUGGUUUGAAAAUUACAGUUCCUCCCCUUUUACUGAUCUGUAUCAAUAACCAUUCAUACCAGUCAACAUAACAGAAUUUGAUGGCGUCAUCAUUAGAACUUCUAGAAACCUGCCACAAUGCAUAAGAUUCAGACAUGAAUGUGCACUUGUGUUAUGUGAUUGUUGCUCUGAGUAAAUGUGGAGUAGUUGAGGCCUAAUUUCAUGCAUUUUGAAUUGCUUUGAAAUAGAGUUGGAAUGUCUCUGCUUCCACUCAAUCAUAGGAGUUCUUGUGAAAUCAUAUUUGUUUGCCAAAACGCCACCCAAUUUAUCCUUAUAAGUUUAAUGUGGGACGGUAAAUCAUUUUGAAAAAUUCAAAGGCCCUUCCCUUUAGAAAUUUCUUUUACCAUGAAAAAAAAAAUGAAGAAAGAAUAGCUAGAAAAGGAAGACUAGAUCUACUCCGCUGGUUUAGGUCACUUAGUAACUGGGUAACUUCAUCACAAAUGUUGUUAUUCACAUAAAACGGUGACUAGAGCCAUGAGCAUGCAAAGCACUUUAGGUAAAACGUUUUUUGGUUGAGUAACCGGGUGCCUUCACCACAAGUGUUGUCAUUCGCGUCAAAAGACCGAAAUACGGCCUAAAGAACAUAAGUCAUGGGCAAAAACAAAGAAAAAAGAAAGAAAAUAAAAGCCAUGACAACAAAAGGGGAAGAAAAAAGGGAAAAAAAAUGGCCAAAGAAAAGAAAGAACAAAAGUCGUCCCAACUUAGGCAAAAAUAAGGAGAUAAAGGGUAUUGUGUUGAAGCGACGAGUAUAGUGACAUUUAGAAACCUAUGAUUUUGUGGAAGCUUGAUUGUUCUACUCUCUACGUGGCGAGACAAAGUGUUGUGAUGUGAUUGGCCUCUUACCCUCAUUAUGAUAAGUUAGCGUUUGCAUAACGUAUUGUGGCAUUUGUGUUUUGAGAUUAUCUGCAUAUGGGUUAUAGGUUACCUUUGUUGUUACGGAAUAUUAGCACAAUGUUGAGAUCAUAUUUUUUGCAGUGUCGGACUUUUGCUUGAGGACAAUAAUUGUUUAUGUUUAGGGAGUUUGAUAAGCUUAGUUUUACAUAUUUAUAAUAGUGGAAAAUACUAUUUUGUUGUGUGGAAGGCAAUAACUUCAAAAAAGCAACAGUAAUUUCCUUCUAUUUUUUGUUUAUAUCUAAAAAUUAUCGUAUUUUUUUAUGGCUAUCUGAAAAUCCUAUGUAAAAGCCUUUAUUUAGACUUUAUAUGACUACUAUUUUUGGUUGGGAGGUGAUAGAUUCUGACCAUGAUAUUAUUUUACCAAUAUAACUCAUAAUAAUUAUUCUAAAAAUGUUUAGGUGCUAUAUUAUUAUGGUUGUCUUUUAUUUUAUGGAUUAUUCCUGUUAGAUGACCAUAUCAGCACAGGGUAAAUAUAACCUCUCAAAGGUACAUGAAAUAUACAAUUUGGCUAAGAGAUGUUUGGUGGUGGCAUUCCUAAGAAGGAUGGAAAAAUUGAUUGUGCUGAAGACUCUUUCAGCAGGCAAGGCAAGCAUUUUUUAUUGUAUCACGACAACUGCAGGUUGAAACAUAUGCCUCAGUAGUCUGUAUACCUUCAGGCCAACAUGUCGAGUAUUGCUUGCGUGUUUGAAAGAGUUUAUUCAAAGUAUCAGAAGAGAAGAUCAUUUACUGUUUGACGUUUGCUGGUUCUUAAAGUAAACAACAUUUAUAUUAAACUGUUCUCACAUCUCACUCAUAAAAAGAAGUCUCAACCCAAUUAACCUUUAAAAGAGGAGAAACUGCGAUGAAAGAGGCUAAGAAGAAAGGGACAAUCUUCCUUGGUGAAGGAGAAAAGAGUUCAUGCAACCAUGGAAAAAAAAUUAUUCUACAUCAAGAUUGACAUAGAUGCCUGAACUUCUCUAUCACCGUAAACUAUAGUUUCUUUGUGUUCUUAUAGUUGAUAGAAAAUGGGACUUUUUUGCAGGUUUGCACUGCUAAAAUGAAUUUAAGUGAUGAGUUAGAUUUGGAGGAUUAUGUUUCUCGACCAUAUAAAAUCCGUGCAGCCGAGGUGAUACCAUUAUUUCAGAAAAUUGAAGGUGUUGAAGUGUGCCUAUUUGAAAUGUGCACUCGAGAAUGGAUUCGAUUGUCAGCAGCCUGAUCAUUGCUGGUCUUAUGUGGAGUCAGUUAAGUAUUUCGGGCCGGAGGUCAAACCAGUAAGCGGAGAACCUCUGCGAACAUUUGUGUACCAUGAAUUUUGGCAAGUUUCUGGAACCACUGCCCUUUUGCUAUUGCUAUCUUCUCUAUUGUGGCAAAAUAUUGUAGUUGCAAUUUCUGGUGCAAGUACCGAUAAUAGUCUUAUAUUUUCAGAUUCGACACUUAGAAUACUGUAAAAAGUGCAAUUUCAGUAGUUGUUGUACAUGGGCUUGCCCUCCGUUGAAAGGGGAAGAUUGCAUAUUGUAUUGCAAGCAGAAAUUCAAAAGACACCAAAAUCAGAUAAAGUUAGGGAGUGGUGAGUUUGGUGGUUGUUUGAUUAUGAUACUGUUAAUUAUGAGUUGUGAGUAUGUCCCACUAUUUUAUUUGAAUUAUUGCUUUGGUUUCAAGUGCUUGUCCAUGCUAAGAAAAACUGCAAAUGAAAAUAUUGUACUUGACUCGCUAUGAUCAUUUAUUUGUGUCUACCGGAGAAUGUAAAGCAAAGGUAGCUGCAGCUUGGUUUCCAUACUUUGAUUGGGAUUAUUGGCUUGGUGCUCCAGAGGACAUGAUCUAUCAACUACAACAAAAAGAGGAUAGGAGAAAACAGCAUAAGAAUGGAACUAUGAAAAAGAUGAUCAAGAAAAAGGCUCUGGAGGCAUCUGCCCAAACUGUUGUAAUUUCAUGGUUAAAUUCACAAAGUUUGUGUGGCCUUUUCAGUGAUCUUGGUGAAGCAAUAUCUCCCAGGAAGGAAGACUUCGUCAUGGUACACUUACAGCAUGCAUGUGCGCACACACUGCUGCAUUCUGAUGAUCUCUGGAAAUUGUUGGGUUUGCAAACAAUGCAAAGAUUUUCAGCUAUGUGAAAACAAAUGGUUUGGUCUAAAAAAUUUGGUUGAUGCCAAUAUGAGGAUAUGUAAACAUGUAGAGAAGGAAGUGGAGAUAUUCAAGGAUGUUGUGAAUGAGACCAGAGGAGUUGGAGGAAGUUAAUGCUUGCAAUAGAGGAAGUGGAUUUUGAUGUUGCAGUGCUCAAGAGUCGGAGGGUCAAGAACUAGGCUUCGCCAAAGGACUUGGUUGAAUUUAAGUAGCUCAAGUAGUGGCACAUCGUUACUGAGGUAUUGUGAAGCGUUAUCAUUCCUCCCUCUUUUAUUUUCUUUGGUUUCGGACGGAUUGGAGUGUAUUUCUUCUAUGUUUUUGCUGCUCUAAUUUAAUCUAUCUAGGAAUAAUAUGUCUGUUUCACCUUGCUGAAACUAUGUUGUUGCUCUCUAUUCUUCGGCUUUUUGGUGCAUAGGAUACAUAGUCAACUAACCUUGUAAGAUGGUGAGUUUGUUCCCAAAAGAGUCCUAGAACAUGAGAUGAU